rnacentral:lncRNA from 1 species
UAAAUGAUUGAUUUCAGAUCUUCUUUUGUGCUAUCUGCAUUCAAUGUUAUAAAUUUCCCUUUAAGCAUUGUUUUUAUUGCAUCCCACAAAUUAUAAUAAGCUAUGUUUUUAUUUUCAUUUAUUUCAAAAUAUUUUUUCACUUAUCUUGAGAUUUCUUCUUUGACCCAUGAUAUUUACACGUGUGUUGUUUAAUCUCCAAGUAUUUUGGCAUUUUCCAGCUACCUUUCUGUUACUGAUUUCUAGCUUAAUUCCAUUGUUAUCUAAGAGCAAACAUUGUAGGACUUGUAUUCCUUUUUUUUUUUUUUUUUUUUUUAAGACAGAGUCUCACUCUGUUGCCCAGGCUGGAGUAGAGUGGCAUGAUCUUGGCUCACUGCAACCUCUGCCUCCGGGGUUCAAGCGAUUCUCCUGCCUCAGCCUCCCAAGUAGUUGGGACUACAGGUGCCCACCACCAAACCUGGCUAAUUUUUGUAUUUUUAAUAGAGAUGGGGUUUCAGCAUGUUGGCCAGGCUGGUCUUGAACUCCUGAUCCCAAGUGAUCUGAGAAUUUCUAUUCUUUUAAAUGUGUUAAGGUAUGUUUUAUGACCCAGAAUGCAGUCUAACUUGAUGAACAUUCCAUGCAAGCUUAAGCAAAAAGACUAAUCUGCUGUAGUUUCCUCAUCUUUUUCAACAAACAUUUGAACCCCAUAGUCUCUGCUUUAAUAAUUCUAGUAUCCAUUCCAACCUACACCACCAUCAGUUCUAGACUGUACCUCUACACUAAAUGACCCCAGAUGGUUCAGCUUUAAGUCUCAGCUGUUUUCAUCAUUUAACUGAUUCCCUUGCUGGCAGCAGGGAAAUUAACUACCAGCCACACACUUGUCUCCAACAGCACCCACCGACCACGUCCUGCUCCCCUGUCAUUACCACCACUAAACCCGGUAGCAGAGAGAUGAGCUGUGAGGUAGGUGCCUUCUAGAUAAAUGAGGUGCUACUGGACAUGCACUGUGGUCUUCUCUGCAGUAGAAAAAUGUCCAAGGAAGGUCAGCAUCAUUGAUAGAAAAUAAAUGUGAGGCUGCAUCUCGCCAGCUCAUCCAUGAGCAAUUCCUUCAGCUCCAGCAGGCUACUGACAAUUUGCUUUUAACCCAAAUCCAGCUCUACCCUCCCUAAAGCAUGCACCUAGGGCCCCAGUCAGAAAAACAAAACAAAAACUAAACCAGACAGGAUAAUUAAGGAGGCAAAAAGCUUAAACCAUAAUAUUUUAAUUAAGCUGAUUUAUUUUAACCGUAGCACUACUGCUUUAUUUUAGUUAUAUACCAGUAAUGGAAAAUAGUGGCCACUUUUCAUUAUUAAUCAUAAGAUAAUUCAUUGUAUUUGUCUUUCCUAAUAAAAUGGCAUUAUAUUAAGGCCCAAAAUGUUUACUAUGGCCCAGUAAAAUAUAGGGUUGUUCUGUGAGCUAUUUCUUAGGAUAGAAAAUUAUUCCAGAAAGCUAUUAGUUCAAAAGUCUCUAGCAGUGCCAAGGUUUCAAUAGUCUCUUUAAUUUUGAAUCUAUGCGAUUGAAGAUAAGACUGCAUCUAGUUUGGGGGUUGCAUGUUUGUGGACAUUCAUGUUUCUAUGUACCUGGAACUUCUUAUUCUCACCAUCACACAGAAUUUUCAAGAACUAGUUAAGCAAAGAAAGCAAAGCCCAGCAGGUGUCAGAAUUGGGUCCCCAAGCUGAGGGUCAUUAGGGUGCAUGUCAGUGUGCCAACUCCAAUAUCCACACCUAGAGAACGCACAUCUUCCCAAAAGAAAUGAAGCACAGAUGAUACUUGAUCCUCAACUUUGUCUCCAGAAAUUUUUUCAGGAACUUGAGUUCUUUAUCAAAUGCUCACAUCCUACAGAGAAAUAAAGUGUUCCAUUUUCAAGGUUCAUGAAGCUCGUCAAUGCUGGGAGCAGGCACACACUUGUAUUUUUAUACUCAGGGAUCCCAACAGGCAACUAAAACUAGACAAGGACAAAACUCCACUCAAAAUAUUCUGAAAGUUAGCUGAUGCCCCAUAUUUUAUUACUCCAAAUGUGUAUUCACUUGCCUGAGUGCUGGCCAUGAGCACUCAGUGAACACUUGCAGUACAGUGAGUGAUGUCCUUGACAAGUUACUAUGAAGACUCUGAGAAAAAGUAACAUCCCCCACUGUCCUCAACAAGCCUGUAAUCCCAUGGCUGCCAGCCCUUACCAUGCAACAACACUGCGCUAAGUGCAUCGAACCACACAAAACCCUGUGAGAAAAUACUGCUUCCCACUUCACACGUGAAGUAACUGAGUCUAGUUUUAGAAAUACCUAAACGAAGAGGGACAGGCACAACAAAUUUGCUGGAAUGUAAAGAAAGUAGAUCAGUUUCUGCGUAAGCAGUAAGAAAUGGCCUCAUGAGGAAGAAAGGGACAUUUGCCCUGACAUUUCUCAAAGACUGCUUAGGUUUUGGAGACAGAGAUCCAAGGGCAGGCAAGCACAAUGGUUCAUGCCUGUAAUUCCAGCACUUUGAGAGGCCAAGGUGGGAGGAUUGCUUGAGCCCAGGAAUUCAAGAUUAGCCUGUGCAACACAGCAAGACCCCAUCUCUAUUUUAAAAAGAGAGAGAGAGAUCCAAAAGCAAAGGCAUUUCAGUUUGCAAGGCCAGCAUGGGAGAGGGUCUUAAAACAGAAACACACAAGGUAAGAUUGGGGGAUGGUACCUAGACCAGCCUAGGAUCAUAGGAUUUGAUAAAAUAUGCAUUUGGAAAACUGGUGCUAAUUUAUAGAGACUUAGAAUUUCAGGCUAAGGACAAGGACUAAGAAACGAAUAGCAUGAACAGUAUUAUUGAUAAACCCAUCAUUGCAUCUUAAAGGCUCUGAAGUCUUUAGUAUUGAAUUAAAAAAUAAUUUUCACUGGACAAAACCAAAAGGUCUUUACACAACUGUCAAGCACUUUGAAAUGAUUCAGCAAAAAGCAGAAUAAAUCACUAGUGGAAUUUCAAUAGCAUGUAGUUGUAAACCAUCAUGUGUCCAGCAAAAUCACAAAACAAGAGUUUAUUUUAGAAGGGACUUAGGGAUAUUAAGAAAUAUAACAUACAAAAUAACUAAAGUUUUCUCCAAGCAAAACCAAUGAUCCUUUAGGGAUGAACAGAAAGAAAACAAGAAAUGCUUCUUUCAAAAGUUGCUACCAAGGCUUCUAAGAUUUCUUUGGAAUAAAGUCACUAAGAUUUGCUUCUGAGGUCAAUCUUGCCAACUUUUCCACCAUGCUUUUUAGGAAGGAACACCAGGUAGGGCUCAAGUACUGGUUUGGCUCCUGUCCCAUUUUUUGGUCCUUUUGUAACUCCCUUUACUCAACUCCAAGUAUGUCUGUGCACGGACAAUGAGACGAAAGCAUGCUCAAUGCGAAAGCACAAAUUAUGUAUUGAGAAAUCACUACAAUGCCAAAUUUUUUUAAAAUAAAAAAAAAAUAUAUAUAUAUAUAUAUAUCUUUAAGAACUCGCUGUGUUAGGGAAACUGUUUACAUAUUGAGGUGUUCCUCUUUUUUUGACUGGAACAAUAAAAGAAAAAUUUGAUAUGGCCUUGGUUUCUUUUUUAUGUGUGUCUGUGUCCAAAGAAGUCGGCCUUUUCUACAAGUGAGAGCAUGAAUUGUUUCAAAGCGCAACACCCUGCCCCAGGGCCACUCAAGAUGUCAGGCAUAUCAGGCAUAACCCAAGGAUAGUACCAUGGGUUUGGAGUGAUCUUCUCUCUUCUUCCCUCCCACUCUUCCUCUCUCUCCAUCUCUUUCUUUCUCUCCCUAACUCUCUUGCUCCCUUUCCUCCUUCUCGCUCUCCCCCUCCUGUCUCUUUCCCCAUCUCUCCCACAAUGUUCUGCCUAUGGCCAGAUCCCAGCAAUGGGUCAGCUCCGCUCCUUUCCACACCUACUGACCCAAGUGGGACUCCUUUGAUACCUGUUUGUACCUUGCACUUCAUGGAACUUGAAAAAAACGAAAGG